rnacentral:rRNA from 1 species
GAGUUUGAUCAUGGCUCAGAGCGAACGCUGGCGGCGUGCCUAACACAUGCAAGUCGAACGUGAAAGGGAGCAAUCCCAAGUAAAGUGGCGUACGGGUGAGUAACACGUAGGUAAUCUACCCUAGAGUCUGGAAUAACCUGCCGAAAGGCGGGCUAAUACUGGAUAGAGCGAUGGAAUCCGUAAUUGGGUUUUUCGGGAAAGAGAGCUCGUAAGAGCCUUCGCUUUAGGAUGAGCCUGCGUCCCAUUAGCUAGUUGGCAGGGUAAAAGCCUACCAAGGCGAUGAUGGGUAGCUGGUCUGAGAGGAUGAUCAGCCACACUGGAACUGAAACACGGUCCAGACUCCUACGGGAGGCAGCAGUGGGGAAUCUUGCGCAAUGGACGAAAGUCUGACGCAGCCACGCCGCGUGAGUGAAGAAGGCCU